rnacentral:rRNA from 1 species
AACGAACGCUGGCGGCGUGGAUAAGACAUGCAAGUCGCGCGGAACAUUGCUGGUAGCAAUACUAGCAGUGUUUAGCGGCAAACGGGUGCGUAACACGUAGCUAUCUACCUCGAAGUGGGGGAUAAUUCCGCGAAAGCGGGACUAAUACCGCAUGUGGUUGUAAGACGUAAAGCGGGGGUCGCAAGACCUCGCGCCUCGAGAUGAGGCUGCGGCCUAUCAG